rfam:Trichinella sp. T9 scaffold2s, whole genome shotgun sequence.
GCCUGUGUGGCUGAAUUGGUGGAGCGUUACGCUUUUAACGUAAAGAUCAGGGUUCGACUCCCUGCGCAGGCA